GAGCCGCGAGAGCAGGGCGGGGAAGCUGAGUGGGAUGCAGGCUUCACCCAGUUCCUUUCACGGCACCGGUAACUUGUUGCGCAGGUGUAGACACUGAGCGCCUUGGGGCCGGCCUGUCCCGGCGCCACCUCGGUGCCUGGAGCCCAGCAGCAGGUAGCCAGGAUUUGUAAAUCUUUGCCUCAGGAUUUUUUCUAAGACGGGAAGUCCUUUUGUUCAAACCUAACCUAUGGGUGGAAAAUUCAAAUGACUGCAGGAGGCGGGCAGGAACUUCAGUGAAGUGACCCAGGUGUGGCAUCGCUGGAUAUGCAUUCCUCACAUAAAAAGAAAGUAAGCACGACUACUGUCACAGGGCUGCUUCUGAGAUGCAGCCCCAUCUUGCCAUCCAGGACCCGUUCUUAAUCUCUUCUGGAGCUUUGACCAGAAGCUGAAACUGGCAGCCCUUGGACUCAAUUCAGCAGGUAGAUCAGAGCUGUUUAGCCCAUAUGCACCCUGCACGAUACUGAUGGUGAAAAUAUUGAAAUGCUUCAUGGUAAAUAGUAUCAUAGUAACUGUACAGUCACAAUUAGCUAAUGUAAAUUCUCAUAUAAACUCGGGUUUGUACUGACAGUCUCAGGACGUUAGUACCAUAGAAAAAGGGCCUUCUGUUGUAGCCACAUCUGAGGAACAUCUUGUGUCACUGAAGCGACGGUGGCUAAGUUGCAUGUGUUAACAAAACAAAUUGCUUUAGGAGAAUCACUAAAAAUAACUUUGUUAGCAUAGUGUAAUUCUUUUGAAUUACAGUAGCAGGCGUGCAGUGUAUUUAUACUUAUACACUUAAGAUUUGAUUAUAAAUAUUAAGAACAAAUACUAAAGUGAAGAGGCAACAAAAUCUGGAUAAAUUUUUAAUAGUUUCAUAUAUAAUAAAUGUGAGUCUUGUUAAUCUGCAAAACAAAGAAGGAAUUACAGCAGUAGUGAGUCCCAGCCUGGAACUUGUUUUGAUACUGUGCAAGAAUCUGCACAAAAUAAAACUUGUAUUAAAUACAUUUUAUUACAUAAAAUCUGUAUUUCUGGAGUGAAAAAUGACGAUUUUUUUCAACCAGGAAUUUGUGUUAGUGCUAAUGACAAAUUUUUGGCUGCAAAUAGUGCUCAAAAGUUAUGUGUUAAAAGAUGAAAGUGCUGGGCUUCCCUGGUGGCGCAGUGGUUGAGAGUCCGCCUGCCGAUGCAGGGGACACGGGUUCGUGCCCCAGUCCGGGAGGAUCCCACAUGCCGCGGAGCGGCUGGGCCCGUGAGCCAUGGCCGCUGAGCCUGCACGUCCGGAGCCUGUGCUCCGCAGCGGGAGAGGCCACAACAGUGAGAGGCCCGCGUACCGCAAAAAAAAAAAAAAAAAAAAAGAGCGAAGUGCUAAACAUGUAUAUUUCAUCAGGAUGCUGUUAAAACGUAUGGUUCAAGUGAAAAAAAAAUUUGUGGUCAUUAAUGAGGAAGAAAUAUAAAAUAUAAUCAGUUUCAUAUAUUAAACAUUUGGAAACUUAAAACUCCCAAAAUGUCAUCAUAGUGAGGAUAAAGCAGUCAAAAAGAUACAGAGGAACUGUCGAAAUUUUUAGCACUGUAUAAUUGAGCAUUUCCAUAAAAAUAUUUAAUAGAACUUCUAAAGGAAUUGUAUUGAUAUGGGGGUGGGUACUAUGGACUAACUUGUUACAAAACAGAUGUAUCUAAUGAGAAAACUUUUUGGAAAACAAAGCAGUGCAUUUUAAAUCAUCUUCAAGGAAGUUUCAUUUGCUUCACAUAAAAGUGUUUUAAUAGUUUGCUUAAAAUACAAAUUUCAGUAUUUUGAAGAUAAUGGUUUUUGUUGAUCUUAUGACACUGGGAGCUGCAUUUAAUACAGUGUAUUGAGCUUUGUUGGUGGGAAAUAUAUAUAUAUACAAUGGAAAGAUACUUUUGUAAAAAUAUCAUUGCAAUAUUUUACAACUUUGAAAAGGUCAUCGGAUUUUGUACAAAAAGUGCCAGUGUAAUAAUGGUAGGAAGAGUCUGGAGUUUCAGCCAAAAGUUUAGAAAAAAAUUUGGAUAUUUUAAUUUGUCACUAAGUGAUCAAAUUUAAUUUUGGAUAAAGCAAUACAAGAUUUAAGUUAAGUAAUUCUCAUGUUUUUCUCAAUAAAUUGUAUUUCUUACCAUGCAUCAAAUAAAUAUUAGGAAGAACUGCAAAUUAAGUACUGGAAAUUGCACCUUGAUGGACAGCUUGAAGUGCGAGAGCAGCAGAAGCAGUUUGGAAAUCAGGAAGUUCUGUGUGUUCACUGUGAUAGAAGCUGAAGUGCAGAGUUAGCCAUCGAAGAAUAUAACUUUAAGAGUGUUUGUUGGCUUUAAUAAAAGAUGUUUUAAUGGAAAUAUCAAUAUUUUAGCUUUAUGAGGAAAAUGUCAUAAUUAUUAGAGCUGACAUUAUUUCAGUGGACUCUUGAAUGAUUGAACAUUAUCUGUAACGUAAUGUUCAAUCGUAAUGUAAUGAUUGAACAAUACUUGUAAAUUACUGUAGUCUGGUUAGGCUUCUAUAACAGAACACCACAGACUGGGUGACUUCCAAACAACAGAAAUUUAUUUCUCAUAGUUCUGGAGGCUGGGAGGUCAGGGCGCCAGCACGCCUGGGUUGUGGUGAGAGCCCUCUUGUACGUUGCAGACUGCCGACCCCUUGUGGCAGACUGCUGCAGAGCAGAGGAAGCAAGCUCUCUUGGGACUCUUACAAGGGCUCUAAAUCCUCAUGACUUCCACUCUUAUAACCUCAUCUAACCCUAAUUACCUCCCAAAGGCCCUACCUCCUAAAAUCAUCACAUUGUGGGGGUAGGGGGGUAAGGCUUUAUAACGUGAAUUUUGGAGAGACACAACAUUUGUUUAUGUUUGCAUAACAUAAACAAGUAAAGGAAACUUUGAAACGGAAGAUACAGAUAUGAAAAGAAAAUAGGUACACUGAAACAAAAUGAAGUAUCAAUUCCAAGAGAAAAACUAUUGGAUUGUCUAAUCAAUAAUACAAAAAGGGUUUUGAUGGAAAAAUGAAUGAACUUUUCAAUUGAAUCCUGAGAUUUGGCUAACUGGUUUGUGAAGCUCCAUGGAUUGAGGUUGAAUACAGUAGCAAAUUCAAGAAGUGAUUUUUGUGACUUAGUUAUAAUAGAAAUAUUGAAUAUAUAAAAGUCUCAGACUGUUUGACUUGCCUGGAGGUUCUCUGGAAGACCCCACUUGCAAAGCUGUCUUUAUUUGACCUGACUUGGAGCUCAGAGUUCAUCCAGUGCAAAAAGUCUUCUCCCCAGGGCAUUUCUCAAAAACAUGUAGAGGCAGUUGUUUAACUUCACAGCUGCCUGAGGCAGUGAAUAAUGCUUAGGACAAACAACAGGCUAGCCAAAAAGCUGAAAGGGAAAAACUGGGGAAUGGGCAUCCAGGGCAGCUUUGAGAAGCCCCAAAACAUCCUGCUCUUCUAGAAGGCCACACGCACAGGUAGAGGAGUCACGUGCCUAAGGCUGUGACAUGCUCGGGAAAGCCCUGGGAAGGCCCUGAGCUCUCAUUGGGCCAACCUCCAGGCUCCCCACGGCAGGAAGUGAAGGCUUAGGUAGAGUUGUCCAGUGCUGGGCCCCUCAGCACACACUGGGAGACUUGCUGGGCCCAGAGGCUUAGGAAAUGCCUGUCUAAUCACUAUCUGACCACUAAGCUAUCUCUGCAGAGACUUCAGUGGUCACAUGUGCCUUUACAGAAUCAGUUCAGAUAAAUCAUGAAACGAACAGCAACAAAAAUAUAAAGGAAACCUUGGGGAGGGGAGAGAAUCUGAUUUCCAGAGUUGUUACAUUAUAUUGCUUAGAAUACCCAGUUUUCAACAAAAUAUUUUGAAACAUGCAAAAAAAGAAAAAGAAAAGAGAAUAUGGUCCAUACACAGGAAACAAAAGCAAUCCAUAGAAACUGUUCCUAAGGAUGUGCAGACGUUGGACUUACUAGACAGAGACUUUAAGUCAGCUGUUUUAAUUAAGCACAGAGUUAAAGUAAAGCAUGUCUAGAGAAUUAAAGUGUGAGAACACUGUCUCACCAAAUAGAGAAUAUCAAUAAAGAUAAAUUAAUAAACAGGAAUUUGGGAGUAAAAAAAUAUAAUGAGUGGAAAAUUCACUAGAGGGCUCAACAGCAGAUUUCACUAGGCAGGGGAAAGAAUCAGACCUUCAGGAUCAAUUGAGUUUACCUAGAGGAAAAGAAAAGAGCGAACAACGCAAAGCAAACAGGAAGUAUAUGACAAUUGCUAGUAUUGGUGAGCAUGAGACCUACAAAAGGGGCUCAGUUUGGUGCAGUAGAUAGUCUUUCUUGAAGGGGAUCAUGAGGUGUAUUUUAUAUACACUUAGAUUCCCAUUAUUCCAAUAAUAACAACAAAGUGUGUUAUUGGUCAUGGGCUAAACUCUGGACUCUAGAACAUUCUGCUGGGAUGUCUAUUAUUGGUAGCAGUUAUAUUGCAAACAGUCCUUCGAGUUGUGUGCAGUUACCUUCUUUGUCCUCUCUGUAAGACCUUCAUUCCUUCCUAAGAAACCACAUUUAAAGUCCAAAUGGGUUCAAUCUGAUUUAUAUAAAAGCAAAUCAUUACUAACAGAUUACUCACUGCACUUUACUGUAAUCUAGUCAAGUACAUAAUUUUGUUUUUUACAACAUGACAGUUAAAUCCUGUUGGUCUAGAAAUAUACUUACUAGAAAAUAUUCUUCCAUGUUGAGGGAGAGAUGAAGUGUUUCUUCAGGAGUGACCUAUACUUCCAAAUCUCUUUUGAUGAACCCGGGGCCAACUUGUAUGCGUCUUCUCGGGGUUCAGCUUGGAUGGACAAAGAAGCUAGAUGGCGGACAUGACCAACAGAACAGUCAAUGAACAUCGACUAAGACAGCAGUUAAAAACAGUAUCACCGGUAGGGAUUGAGGGUAGCAGUUAAGGUGGCAGAUUCAGGCCCAGUUCGCAAUUAAGCUCAUGAAAUGCAAGAUUUGGUGGAGCAGUUGAACUGCAGGACGGAUGGAGAUGCUGCUGGGCCUUGGGACACCUAGAACCAGAGGCCAAGAGCCACUGUUCCUCACCAUUGCAUGUUUCUGCUCAUAAAGUUCAUCCUUUCCUAUUGCAUUGUCUUCCUUCAUAAAGCAGGAAAAAUGGAUGUCCAUAACUUAGGAGUUUCAGGUCUUCCUGUGGGGCUCACAAGUGCAAAUGCUUUCUGGGGUCAGGGGAGUACCAUAAUUGAGUGAAGGAAGCUGGGUAUGCAGUGCGGGGUGGGGGGCCCCAUGGCAAACUGAAUCCCAAAUUCAGCCUUUGGAUUUUUCCAAAGAGGCCUGGCAUCUGUGUUCAGGUUUCCAGCCUGCAUCUCCUCAAGACAGCCCCGCCUAGGAGAGCGGGAGUGCACCCGAAAGCCUGCGCCAGCUCCUGGUCUUGAAGUGUCUUCUCAGCCACAGUGGCCGCUGGGCGCAGAGCAAGGCCGGAAGGCGUCAGGUGUAGCCAGGCUUUAGGUCUCACCAGCAAGGAGGCAGAAGAGGGCGCAGCGAUGUUUUCUCGCUGGUAGGAAGAUGGGGGCGAUUCCCUUCUUCUGUUUAGAAAAUAACUCAGGGCAUUAAAGAACAUUAGAAGGUACGUAAACGUACAGACAAGUGCUGUAAAAGCUCCAUAAUCUCCCAUCUGGAGAGAGUGUUGGUCGGUUUCCUUUGUCUUUCGUUCCUUACCUACUUUUAAUAUAACCGUGACCAUGUAUCAUUUUGUAUAUUGCUUUUAUAUCAAAUCAUUUUUGAUUUUGAAAUAUUUUAAUAUUUAAAUAAGUAUUCUAGGUAUUAUUAGGUAUUGUUUUCCUACUGUCUAACAUUUUUUUCCCUAAACCUCAUUCUAAUAUAUUCAUGGGAGGUACAUCCAGGGAGGCACCACGGUGUUCUGUAACGAUUUCCCUGAAGUUAGGGGUUUAGAUUGUUUACUGUUUUUUUCCUAUUAUAAAUCACACUGGGAUGAAUAUCUUCAUGACCAAAAUGCUGCCUACAUAUCCUGUUAUUUACUCGGGAUAGAAUUCCAAAAGUGCGAAUUUCCGGGUGGGUCCAAAGCAAUAAACAUUUUUAAAGUU